rnacentral:rRNA from 1 species
GAUGAACGCUGGCGGCGUGCCUAACACAUGCAAGUCGAACGAUAUAGUGGCGAACGGGUGAGUAACACGUAAGUAAUCUACCUUUAAGACUGGGACAACCUUGAGAAAUCGGGGCUAAUACCAGAUGUGGCUACCGAAAGACAUCUUUUGGUAAUUAAAUCCAGCAAUGGGCUUAGAGAUGGACUUGCGGCUUAUCAGCUAGUUGGUGGGGUAAUGGCUCACCAAGGCAAUGACGAGUAGCUGGUCUGAGAGGACGAUCAGUCACAAGGGAACUGAGACACGGUCCCUACUCCUACGGGAGGCAGCAGUGAGGAAUUUUCCGCAAUGGGCGAAAGCCUGACGGAGCGACGUCGUGUGUGGGAUGAAGUCUUUCGGGAUGUAAACCACUGUCAGAGGGGAAGAUAUUGACGGUACCCUCAGAGAAGCCCCGCUAACU